rnacentral:lncRNA from 1 species
GAUAUUUCCUUUUAUAACUAACUUAAUCCUCACAUCACAUAUUAGCCACACCAUCGAUUGAUACCAAACAUUUUAUGAACACAGUGUUCUUAUAAUCCAUGCACUGAAACUGUAAGUAUAUACUUAAAACACUUAUGAAAAAUUCCGAACAGAUACAGUACUGACUUAAUCAGUAUUAUAAUGAAACAGUCCUGACGAAAUCAGGACUGAAACAGUACUGACAAAAUCAGUACUGAAACAGUACUGACGAAAUCAGUAUUUAAACAGUAUUUAAACAGUCCUGACGAAAUCAGUACUGAAACAGUACUGACGAAAUCAGUAUUUAAACAGUAUUUAAACAGUACUGAAAAAUCAGUACUGACGAAAUCAGUAUUUAAACAGUAUUUAAACAGUACUGAAAAAUUAGUAAAUGUACCGGUUUUGUAUAAUAAUUAACAGUACAUUACAAGUUUUCAGUCUUGUUGAACAGCACUGAUAUGUAUGAGGGUAGAAAUGUACGAAAAAAACGUGGUACAAUUUAUGGUAGUGUAUUGUAGUCCGUUGUUUAUUGAUGUUUAUCAUCGUUUCGUUUGUUUCAUGUUCCUAUUCUAACAUCAAACUUUUUAAACUGACUUUUACUGUUUGUUUGUUUAUUUCACAUUGGCCAGAGGAUUAUGUGGAUGGUUUGGAUCACACAAAACAUUCCCCCUCCUUUAUUGCUCCAGUCCCAAGCAACCUGUAGCCGUUGAAAUAGUUUUUUUUUCUUUUAAUAUUACUAAUAUUCGUUUUAAUUUGUAUUUUUCGGAGUUAAUUGUGGCAUCUGUUUUACCGAAUUGGACGAAUGCCUCCUGGUAUGGUAUUUGCAUGCUACGUUAAAGCCUAAUCGGAGCUCUAUUCUAGGAUCUACAAAAAAUCAAACUUACUGACACCAUUUGAUAACGUCGUGGGGAUGCAUUGCCCUAGUAAUAUGCUAUUUGUUAUUUCUUUAGUUUUAGGCAAAUUUGAUUAUCGAUAAAUAGAAGCAAACAUUAUCAGUCUCUUGUAGACAGUUGUCUCAUUGGCAAUCAUACCGCAUCUGGAAAUGGGAAAUGUGUUAAAGAGACAACAACCCGACCAUAUAACAGACAACAGCAGCAGGUCACCAAUAGGUCUUCAAUGCAGCGAGAAAUUCCCGUACCCGGAGGCGUCCUUCAGCUGGCCCUUGAAUAAAUAUAUAUAUACUUGUUCAGUGAUAUGAACGCCAUACUAAACUCCAAAUUAUACACAAGAAACUAAAAAUAAUACUAACAAGACUAACAAAGGCCAGAGGCUCCUGACUUGGACAGGCGCAAAAUUUGCGGCGGGGUUAAACAUGUUUAUUGAGAUCUCAACCUCCCUUAUACCUACAGACAAGUAGAAAAGUAAAUGCAUAACAAUACGCACAUUAAAUUUCAGUUCAAGAAAAGUCCGAGUCUGACGUCAGAAGAUGUAACAAAAGAAACUAAACAAACUUACAAUAAUACAUAAAUAACAACAGACUACUAGCAGUUAACUAACAUGCCAGCUCCAGACUUCAAUUAAAACUAAAGAAAGUUAUGUCUCAUCAUAUGAAUAUCAGGCACAACCAUCCAGUAAGGGGUUAGUAUCAUACCAUCAUAACAUAUAUGAGAAGAACACAACCCGUGUCAUGCAAACAACUGGUUUUUGAAUAAAUGUGUUAAGUUCCGAUGCAAAGACCCUAUAUUUGAAUCAAUAUUAAAGCCAAAAUAUGCCAUCUUUAAUUACCUGACAAAAGUAUCGUAACUAUAUCCCUUCUUAAUAAGUAUAUUUAUAUAUACAGGUUUUGUUAGCUUCUGAGGUGAAAACUGACAUUUUUUGUGCUUUAUAAAGAAUAUUAUCAUAAAAGAUUGGAUGUGAGAUACCUGAACGUAUAAGAAGUCUGCAUGUAGAGUUAUAUUUAUGAAUGAUGUCUUGUACUGACGAUAAAAUUUAAAUAAAUGUUUUGACUAGUUUGUUAUAUCGAAAACCCUGGUGUAAUAAUUUUUCAGUCAUACAUAAAUUUCUCUCGUUGAAAUCUAAAGCCUUUUUUAAGUGAUUUUUAUAGUUGUUCUUAUGUUGUACUGUAACUUCACUGUUUAUGAGGGGGGGUUGGAACAUGUGGAGCAGGAUCUGCUUACCUUUCUGGAGCACCUGACAUGACCCCCAGUUUUUGAUGGGGUUCGUGCUGCUUAGUCUCUAAUCCUAUAUGUUUUGUCUUCUAUACUUUUAUUUGUCUGUUUUUUUUAUUUAUAGCCAUGGCGUUGUCAGUUUAUUUUCAAUCUAUGAGUAUGACUGUCCCUCUGGUAUCUGUCAUCCCUCUUUUUCAUUCGAAAUGUCAAACUAUAUUGUUACGCUACCGUAUUUCCUCUACACGCUAUUUCCAAAUUAAAAAAAAAGAUCCAUUCAUGAUAUAAGAUAUAAAGAAGAUACUGCAUUAACUGACAGAAGAAUUCCUUGAAGUCACAGAGGUAAACAUUAAUAUGUUCUUAUGUUAUUUGUUCAUAGUGUUGUUAUUUUGGUUUGUUAUAUUUUUGAACUAUUAUAAUGAUAACUAGUACUCCAUUUCAGAAUGUCUCCAUUCAGCUUUGCCACCGUCAUCGUUGCCUUUGUAGUCAGUUCUUAUGGACACUAUUGUACAAAAUACAGCCUGACACCAUCAGAC